UCGCGCCUACGAUGUGUUGUAUGUAUGAGGGUUACUAAUGACGUAAAGUCAUAUCGUUAUGGACUGCACGUAAUGUCUUCAUGUAAUAAUGGUAUAUGUAAGAUGGUAAAUGUUUGUAAUAAGGUAAGAUAGUAACUAUAAUGGUAGGUGGUAAUGUAGGGGAAUAGGGAAUGAAGGAGGUGGAGAAGUGAGGAGGUGGAGAAGCGAAGAGAGAAGAGAGAGGUAACGUGAGAAGGGAUAUGGGAGGCAAUUCAUCGUCUGGAAUGUUAUGACACCUCGACCCGAGAGGUCACAAAAUCCAUUAGACGGCCUAGGUCCUUCGGACAGAGGCACCCUUGUUGGUCCUGGGGACAAUCUGGCCUGAAGGGAGUGAGGGAAUAACGGAGAAGGCAGACUGUUAAAGGAAGCAAGAAAGGGAAGACGUGGAGGACGUGUCCUCCGACUUCGCCUUUGCACGACUAGACGAGGGAUAGGAGGGUGAGGCUUCCAUCCGGAGGCGAGGAGACAAGGGACAAGAGCGCAAGUCCGUUGCGGCGGAUUACAAGGCUAUUAUUAGACCCCUCAAUAAUUGUGAGUAUUAUUAGUUUGAUGUUGUGUCGUAGGAUAAGAUGACAUUUGGUGUAUCUGAUGUAGCUGUAAGUGUUGUAUUGUGUUGUCUGACAAGUGUUGAUGAGAUGUAUUCUUUACCUCGCUCAGGUUUACACGCAUAUUAAAAGCGAGUAAAACAA